UCAGGUAGGACUACCCGCUGAACUUAAGCAUAUCAAUAAGCGGAGGAAAAGAAACCAACAGGGAUUGCCUCAGUAACGGCGAGUGAAGCGGCAACAGCUCAAAUUUGAAAUCUGGCCUUCGGGUCCGAGUUGUAAUUUGGAGAGGAUGCUUUUGGCGCGGUGCCUUCCGAGUUCCUUGGAACAGGACGCCAUAGAGGGUGAGAGCCCCGUACGGUUGGACACCAAGCCUUUGUAAAGCUCCUUCGACGAGUCGAGUAGUUUGGGAAUGCUGCUCAAAAUGGGAGGUAAAUUUCUUCUAAAGCUAAAUACCGGCCAGAGACCGAUAGCGCACAAGUAGAGUGAUCGAAAGAUGAAAAGCACUUUGAAAAGAGGGUUAAACAGUACGUGAAAUUGUUGAAAGGGAAGCGCCUGUGACCAGACUUGCGCCCCGUGGACCAUCCGGCGUUCUCGCCGGUGCACUCUGCGGGGCGCAGGCCAGCAUCGGUUUUCUCAGGGGGAUAAAGGCCGCGGGAAGCGUAGCUCCUCCGGGAGUGUUAUAGCCCGUGGUGUC
rnacentral:rRNA from 1 species